rnacentral:rRNA from 1 species
CAUGCAAGUCGAACGACAAAGUAUCUUCGGAUACGAGUACAGUGGCGGACGGGUGAGUAAUACAUAGGAAUCUACCCAAUGGAGGGGGAUAGCUCGAGGAAACUCGAAUUAAUACCGCAUAAUCUCCACGGAGUAAAGAGGGCUUCGGCUCUCGCCAUCGGAUGAGCCUAUGCAGGAUUAGCUUGUUGGUGAGGUAAAGGCUCACCAAGGCAACGAUCCUUAGCUGGUUUGAGAGGAUGACCAGCCACAUCGGGACUGAGACUCGGCCCGGACUUCUACGGAAGGCAGCAGUAGGGAAUAUUGGACAAUGAGCGAAAGCUUGAUCCAGCCAUGCCGCGUGUGCGAUGACGGCCCUCGGGUUGUAAAGCACUUUAGGUAACGAGGAAAAGUUAGGUGUUAAUACCAUCUAACCUUGACGUUAAUUACAGAAUAAGCACCGGCUAAAUCCGUGCCAGCAGCCGCGGUAAUACGGAUGGUGCAAGCGUUAAUCGGAAUUACU